rnacentral:rRNA from 1 species
UACGUAGGGGGCUAGCGUUGUCCGGAAUCAUUGGGCGUAAAGGGCGCGUAGGCGGCCGAUCAAGUCGGGGGUGAAAGCCUGUGGCUCAACCACAGAAUUGCCUUCGAUACUGUUUGGCUUGAGACCGGAAGAGGUUAGUGGAACUGCGAGUGUAGAGGUGAAAUUCGUAGAUAUUCGCAAGAACACCAGUGGCGAAGGCGGCUGACUGGUCCGGUUCUGACGCUGAGGCGCGAAAGCGUGGGGAGCAAACAGG